rnacentral:ncRNA from 1 species
CUGCAGGUGCCUCCGCUAUUCAAAUCGGAGGUGAAAAGGGAACCGGGUGGAAAUCCCGGACUGUCCCGCAACUGUAAUUGGCAGGAAGUCAUAUCCACUUUCCGCAUACGGCCACUGGCAGCAGUUCACAUUUACAGAUUCUUCUCCGGGAUCUGUAUGUAACUGCAUGGAAUACUGCCGGGAAGGCGCGGAAAGGAGCCUGUGGUGGAAACGUCACGAAUUGUCAUGACACAUCAUGACAUGUUUCCGGACAGGCUGUGCCAUAAGUCAGGAGACCUGCCUGCAGGAG